AGUGAACGCUGGCGGUAGGCCUAACACAUGCAAGUCGAACGGCAGCACAGUAAGAGCUUGCUCUUACGGGUGGCGAGUGGCGGACGGGUGAGGAAUACAUCGGAAUCUACUUUUUCGUGGGGGAUAACGUAGGGAAACUUACGCUAAUACCGCAUACGACCUACGGGUGAAAGCAGGGGAUCUUCGGACCUUGCGCGAUUGAAUGAGCCGAUGUCGGAUUAGCUAGUUGGCGGGGUAAAGGCCCACCAAGGCGACGAUCCGUAGCUGGUCUGAGAGGAUGAUCGGCCACACUGGAACUGAGACACGGUCCAGACUCCUACGGGAGGCAGCAGUGGGGAAUAUUGGACAAUGGGCGCAAGCCUGGUCCAGCCAUACCGCGUGGGUGAAGAAGGCCUUCGGGUUGUAAAGCCCUUUUGUUGGGAAAGAAAAGCAGCAGGUUAAUACCCCGCUGUUCUGACGGUACCCAAAGAAUAAGCACCGGCUAACUUCGUG
rnacentral:rRNA from 1 species